rnacentral:rRNA from 1 species
AGCGAACGCUGGCGGCAUGCUUAACACAUGCAAGUCGCACGGGCAGGGGCAACUCUGUCAGUGGCGGACGGGUGAGGAACACGUAGGAACGUAUCCUGAGGUGGGGAAUAACGCCGGGAAACUGGCGCUAAUACCGCAUGGGAGCUGAGGCUCAAAGCCGCGAGGCGCCUUGGGAGCGGCCUGCGUCCGAUUAGCUAGUUGGUGGGGUAAUGGCCUACCAAGGCUGAGAUCGGUAGCUGGUCUGAGAGGACGAUCAGCCACACUGGGACUGGGACACGGCGCAGAAUCCUACGGGAGGCAGCAGUGGGGAAUAUUGCACAGUGGGCGCAAGCCUGAUCCAGCAAUGCCGCGUGGGUGAAGAAGGUCUUCGGAUUGUAAAGCCCUUUCGGCGGGGACGAUGAUGACGGUACCCGCAGAAGAAGCCCCGGCUAACUUCGUGCCAGCCGCCGCAGUAAAAC